rnacentral:rRNA from 1 species
UACGUAGGGUGCAAGCGUUAAUCGGAAUUACUGGGCGUAAAGCGUGCGCAGGCGGUUGUGCAAGACAGAUGUGAAAUCCCCGGGCUCAACCUGGGAAUUGCAUCUGUGACUGCAUCGCUAGAGUACGGUAGAGGGGGAUGGAAUUCCGGCGUGUAGCAGUGAAAUGCGUAGAUAUGCGGAGGAACACCGAUGGCGAAGGCAAUCCCCUGGACCUGUACUGACGCUCAUGCACGAAAGCGUGGGGAGCAAACAGG